rnacentral:rRNA from 1 species
UACGUAGGGUGCGAGCGUUAAUCGGAAUUACUGGGCGUAAAGCGUGCGCAGGCGGCUUUGCAAGACAGAUGUGAAAUCCCCGGGCUCAACCUGGGAACUGCAUUUGUGACUGCAAGGCUAGAGUACGGCAGAGGGGGAUGGAAUUCCGCGUGUAGCAGUGAAAUGCGUAGAUAUGCGGAGGAACACCAAUGGCAAAGGCAAUCCCCUGGGCCUGUACUGACGCUCAUGCACGAAAGCGUGGGGAGCAAACAGG